rnacentral:rRNA from 1 species
ACGGAAGGCAGCAGUGGGGAAUUUUGCGCGAUGGGGGGAACCCUGACGCAGCAACGCCGCGUGCGGGAUGAAGGCCUUCGGGUUGUAAACCGCUUUCAGCAGGGACGAUUAUGACGGUACCUGCAGAAGAAGCUCCGGCUAACUACGUGCCAGCAGCCGCGGUAGUACGUAGGGAGCGAGCGUUAUCCGGAUUCAUUGGGCGUAAAGCGCGCGUAGGCGGCUUGCUAAGCGGAACCUCUAAUCCGAGGGCUCAACCCCCGGCCGGGUUCCGAACUGGCAGGCUCGAGUGCGGUAGGGGCAAGUGGAAUUCCAUGUGUAGCGGUGGAAUGCGCAGAUAUAUGGAAGAACACCGAUGGCGAAGGCAGCUUGCUGGGCCGACACUGACGCUGAGGUGCGAAAGCGUGGGGAGCGAACAGGAUUAGAUACCCUGGUA